AAACGAGAAGGCAGCAAAGAAUCGGGAUUGGGCUGGUAUUUCCUUGAGCUCUCUUUCUGGACUUCUGGCGUCACCGCUUCCUGACUGUGUGAUCUUGUGCAAUCUUCCCAUGUUCCCAUCACCCACGCUGAGACUCCAUUGCUGCAUUUGUAAAGCGGGGAACCGUGAACACAAACAGCAUACACCCUAUAUACAAGGUAUAUAAGAGCUGUCAUCAGAAUUAAUAAAACGGGUGUAUUAAAUCCUUAUCAGGGAGUGCAGCACCUUGGAAGUGAUUAAUAAAUCUGAGAUUUCACAUUUUACUUAGUCACAUCACAGCUUCCGGCUGCUGGGAUCAGAAGGUUGGCGAAAGCAAAGAAACGAGUAAGAACAAGUCCCCGACACAGGAUCACUCUCCCUGGAAGACGCCAGCCUCCACGCCAUGCGGGUCACUCUGCAGAGGCCCGCGUGGUGAGCGAGUGAGAACUGCAGCCAAUAACCGGUGAAAACUGGAGUGCUCCCAUCAAUGGCAUCUUCUCCAGGCCCAAAUGAGCUUCGCGUGAUUGCCGUUUCUGUCACUACCUUGCCUCCAACCGCAUGAGACACUUGGAGUCAGAAGCACGGAACUAAGCCACUCCCGCAUUCCUGACCGUCAAACACGUUGAGGUCAUAAACUCUUGUUGCUAUAAACCUCCCCCUCUCAAGGUGAUUUGUUAUGCGACACGAGAUAACUAAUAGAAGGCACCAGUGCACUUUCGAAAACUUCUGAGACUCUGGCGUGACAUCACCAGUUUUAUUAACAUCAGGGCUUCGUAAUGAUGCAUCUUAAGUCAGAAACUCAAAAGUUACAGCUUGUGUCAGGGUAGCUAACACCAGCCACCAUAACAAACAAGCUUCUCCCACCCACAAAUCCCAGUGACUUCUCAGAAUCAAGGCUUCGUCCUCCUUUGCAAGAAGUCCAGUGUGCCUAAGCCAUCUGCGGUCCCAGAUCCCUGAGCAAAGAGAAGGAAGGGACAGACGAAUUAACGACCUUGGUCAGAAAAGGAUAUACAUCAUUCAUAAUGGUACUCUGUUGGCCAGAACCAGUCACGUGUCCUCAACUCCGCUAUAAAGGAGACUGAGACAUGUUGGGGAGUCCAAGGACGUUGACGACUGCUAUUGUCACUGCCACGUGGCCCUGUUGGGGUCUUCUAAUUUCAAAGCCGGAACAAAUACAGUUUUAAAGAGCUCACCAAAAUAACUGUUCUGUAAGAGCGACGAGACUACCAGGAAGCUGCCCAGGCUGUUUUUAAGCCGUGUCCUCAGCUGGGAGGUGGGCCUGGCCAACGUCCCCUUGGAUCAGCUUCUCUGGCGGCUGAUGUUCCGCUCUGUGGAACCCACAAAAUCCUGACACACUCAAAACUCUCUGAGGUAGACUUCUGGAUCCCUGAGGGCUUGGAGAGCCUCGCCCUUCAGGAAACUCCUCCUUCCGGCUGCCCUGAAAGGCUCCUGUGCUGUCCUAGACACGGUCAAUGCAUCACACAGAUGUCCUUGGACGCUGUGCUCAGCUCCCAACUUCCGCAAGCUUUGCUGCUAGAUGAGCUAGAGGCUCACCCCGGGACCUGGAACCCUCUUACCCUCAGUCCAGGAGAGAUAACCGCGUAUUGUAUGGAAUAGUUACGUUACUUAAGACAGGUUUCUUUGGUGAUGGAUCUGGGUGGACACAGAAUAACACAACAGAGAGGCAUAUGAAAGUAAAUGGGAUUGAUUAUACUUGCAGGUCCUGGAGGAGGGAGGCCUGGCGUGGCUCAGCACGCAGCCGCCACCUGGGCGGAACACCCAGGGGGUGGGCUCCACCAGGCGGGCAGGGAGCCAAGAGGGGGUGACACCACAGGCAAGUGUCUUUAGUGAAGUCGGGCGGAGUAGACCAGCAAAAAGCAUGCGGGGAUUUUACUGGUGCAUUUGAAUGUCACUAGGUCAUGGUCCAAGAGGGCAAGGAGAGGAACUUGUGGCUGGGGCCAGCCUUAUCACCCCGCUGCACCUGGUUGUUGGGGUGGGGUGCUUGCAGCCUACUUGUGGGGAUAUUGAGACAACAGGAAAAUAGGAGGUUUUCAACAUUUACAAUCAUGAGACUUCUCGGAAGAUGGGUAAUGAGCCCAGGGUGUCAGCUCCCGCCCUAGAAACUGACUGGACGUAACUGUUUGAGGGGUCACCAGGAAGAAAUUCCAGAGGUUUCCCUGCCUUCUAUCUCACUUAGGAGCUCCAUUACAGCAGGGAGAUCUGAUCAACACUCCAUUCCCUUGAUAGCAGGGAUCAAAAGGGUAGCCCAAGUCCCCAGAGGCUCAUAUCAUGGCCCUCCCACAGGCUGGGCUCCGUUACGAGGAGACACUAAGGAAAAGGGUGGCACAAAUUCUGCUCUGACACAACACCAAAACCAGGAGAACGGAAGGAGGGUAAGGAAUGCGGUUGGCAUCCUCAGCAAACUGCUCAACAAGCAGACUGCCAAUGGAUGCCAUAGCUCCGGGAGAAUGUGGCAAGAUUGCCGCCAUCUUGUGGAUAAAGCCCGACACACGGCAAGUGCUCAAUAAAUAUUUGAUGUUGAAACAAUAACGCUCUCCGUAAAGAAUGACAAAGUGGGAAGGUUCUUCACACGGGUCAGCAGCUCUGACUUUCUUUCAGGCCAGAACCUGUCACAUUUGGGAGAUGAUCAUUCUUCUGAGACGACGCAGAGCACAAUGUCACGGGGGCGAUGACUAGGGCUGAGUCUGCCUCUUCUGGGCAUCGGCUAAUGAUCUUGGGCAAGUCCUUUAGACUCUCUGUGCUUUGUUUUUGACGUUUCCUGUUAUAGGAUAAUAAUAGUACCUGCCUUGGCAUUGAGGAUUAAACGGGUAAAUUCCUAUACAGCUCUGAGAACAGUGUCCAACACUUAGGAUGUGCUUCGUAAAUGCCAGAUGGGAUUGUUAUUGCCAUUAGAGUCUCACAGGUUGAUAAGACUGCAUAGGAGAAGUUGUGGGACACACCACAGCUCUCUAAGAAUGGGAGGGGUGAUGUUAAUCACACACUCCAGGAGGCUAUAAAAUUCUCCUCUGCUACAUCUUCUCUAGAUUAAGUCCCGUGGUCCCAGGCUCCCUAAGUGUGGAACUUGGACUAGCAGCUUGGGCAUCUGCCGGGAGCUUGUGACAAACGCAGAAUCUUGGGACCCAUCCCAAGUCUAGAGAACCAGAACUUUCAUUUUAACUAGCUCCCUAGUGGUUAGCACAAACACCAAUUCUUUAAUCUGAUUUAUUGUGGUAAAAUUAAGAUACGAUAACUGCAUUCAUUUAAAUUGUCCUGGGUGUGUGUGUGUGUGUGUGUGCGUGUGCGUUUAGCUUGUUGAGGUAUAAUUGACGUACAAAAACAGAACCUAUUACAUGCGUACAUCUUUGUGAGUUUGGACAUGUGCACAUACCCAUGAUUCCAUCACCACAACCAAAGUUCUAAACAUAUGCAUUAUUUCGAAAAGUUUCCCGAUGUUCUAUUUCAUGGAGUUUUCUUUUUUUGUAGGAUCACUUAACAUGAGAUCUAAACUCUUAACAUAUUGUAGAUGUUAAAUGUUAUGAUGGUGUACUGUUCAUUACAUAUACUAGGUCAUACGGCAGAUCUCUAGGACUUAGUUUUGAGGUAGAUAGACUAUGCACCAUCACCAAAACAAAAAUUCUGAACAUGUCCAUCGCCCCCAAGAGUUUCUUCAUGCCCGUUUACUUUCUGUUUCUCCAUCCUUGACCAGGCUGGUUAGCAUCGGAUUAGUUUUCUGUUAAUAUAGAUUAUUUGGAAUGUUUUAGAAUUUGAUAGGGAAUAAAUCAGUAUGUAUUCUCUUUAUGUGGUUUCGUUUGCUCAUUAAAACAUGACUUUGAGAUCCAACGGUAUUGUCUUCAUCAGUAGAUCAUUGAUUUCUCUUGUAUGCCAUUGUAUAGGUAGAUCACAUUUUGUUACCCACUCACCCAUUGAUGAACAUUUAGGCUGUUCACGGAUU